UACGGGGGGGGCAAGCGUUGUUCGGAAUUACUGGGCGUAAAGGGCGCGUAGGCGGCGACUCUAGUCAGAUGUGAAAGUCAAAGGCUCAACCUUUGAAAGCCGGUGGAUACUGUGAGGCUAGAGUACGGAAGAGGCGAGUGGAAUUCCUGGUGUAGCGGUGGAAUGCGCAGAUAUCAGGAGGAACACCAAUAGCGAAGGCAGCUCGCUGGGACGUUACUGACACUGAGGCGCGAAAGCGUGGGGAGCGAACAGG
rnacentral:rRNA from 1 species